AACAUCUUCGCUUGUCUUUGGGACCAACAAGUAGUCUUGGGAAGAGGCCUCGUCCACAUGGAUUAUCAGAUAUCAUUGAUGAUGCAUAUGAUUGGAAACAACAAUGGUUUUCCUUAUCUUCGACGCCAAUGGAUGAUCAUUCGAAACACAGGCAGAUUGAUCUCAAUGUUCCUAUUGAUAUUGAGGAGGAGCAAGAGCAGCCAUCCACUCCAGAUGAUCCACAAUUUCUAAUUUAUUAGGAGCUUGGAUGUUUUAAGAUCAGCAGUUGGAUUAGGUUAACAGAGGAGGACAGGCUGUUGGAUUGUUAAAACAAUGAGUGACGUUAUAUAUUGGAAUUUGGAAGCACUUGUUAAAUGUUAGAUACCUUUGUAACAAGUUUAGAUUUCGAUCUCAGAACUGUCGUUUUUC